ensembl:lncRNA
AGGUAACCAACAAUUUACGACGCUUGGAAUGAGACUAACGUGAGGCAUUUGGGAAAGGAUCAUCUCUACAUACUGUACCAUAGAGCAGGGGUUCCCUAAUUCGGUCCCGAAUCGUGGCAAAGGGCAUAGGCUUGGACACUGGGUGGUUCGGAAGACUGGUGACCAGAGGCGAGUAAACAAGCAGUUUCCCAGGAGUGAAGGAGAUGAUAGACCAUACCACACACACACCUCUGCUGCUCAUAAACAUGGAGAGGACCUGGAGCACAGAGCCAGUGCUGCCUGCUGCACCCUGCACCUCUCUGACCAGAACCAGCAGUGCAGGAGACACAGUGUGUGUGUGUGGUAGGGAGAUGCACAAUUUAAAAAAUAUGACAUAAAGUAGCUUUUAUUGUGUAGUAUUCAAUUCACAGUUGAAGGUUUAUUUUUAUGUUAUAAGGUUAAUGUUUGAAGUUGC